AGGGGCAGCGGGGUAGUGCUUGCACUACUGCCGGCGACCGGCGCACGGGUGAGUAACACGUAUGGAACCUGCCCGCAGCAGGGGGAUAAGCGGAAGAAAUUCCGUCUGAUACCGCGUAAGAACGUUGGGAGGCAUCUCCCGAUGUUUAAAGAUUUAUCGGCUGCGGAUGGCCAUGCGGCGCAUUAGCUAGUCGGCGGGGUAACGGCCCACCGAGGCGACGAUGCGUAGGGGUUCUGAGAGGAAGGUCCCCCACACUGGUACUGAGACACGGACCAGACUCCUACGGGAGGCAGCAGUGAGGAAUAUUGGUCAAUGGCCGAGAGGCUGAACCAGCCAAGUCGCGUGAGGGAAGACGGCCCUACGGGUUGUAAACCUCUUUUGUCGGGGAGCAAAGCGAACCACGUGUGGUUCAUUGAGAGUACCCGAAGAAAAAGCAUCGGCUAACUCCGUGCCAGCAGCCGCGGUAAUACGGAGGAUGCGAGCGUUAUCCGGAUUUAUUGGGUUUAAAGGGUGCGCAGGCGGCGGUGCAAGUCAGCGGUCAAAUUGCGGGGCUCACCCCCGUACUGCCGUUGAAACUGCAUCCCUUGAGUGCGCGAGAAGUAUGCGGAAUGCGUGGUGUAGCGGUGAAAUGCAUAGAUUUCAGCCGAAACUCCGAUUGGGAAGGCAGCAUACCGGCGCGCAACUGACGCUCAUGCACGAAAGCGUGGGUAUCGAACAGGAUUAGAUACCCUGGUAGUCCACGCAGUAAACGAUGAACACUAACUGUUCGGCCAGAAUGAUGGCUGAGUGGUACAGCGAAAGCGUUAAGUGUUCCACCUGGGGAGUACGCCGGCAACGGUGAAACUCAAAGGAAUUGACGGGGGCCCGCACAAGCGGAGGAACAUGUGGUUUAAUUCGAUGAUACGCGAGGAACCUUACCCGGGCUCAAACGACACAGGAAUACUUUUGAAAGGAGGUAGCCCUACGGGGUCUGUGUCGAGGUGCUGCAUGGUUGUCGUCAGCUCGUGCCGUGAGGUGUCGGCUUAAGUGCCAUAACGAGCGCAACCCCUAUCGCCAGUUACCAUCAAGUAAAGUUGGGGACUCUGGCGAGACUGCCGGCGCAAGCUGAGAGGAAGGCGGGGAUGACGUCAAAUCAGCACGGCCCUUACGUCCGGGGCGACACACGUGUUACAAUGGCAGGUACAGAGAGAAGCCAGGUGGUGACACCGAGCGGAACUCGAAAGCCUGUCUCAGUUCGGAUCGGAGUCUGCAACCCGACUCCGUGAAGCUGGAUUCGCUAGUAAUCG
rnacentral:rRNA from 1 species